rnacentral:tRNA from 1 species
GGCAUGGUGGUGCAGUGGGUAGUACUGUAGUGGUGAGCAAGAAGUUCCCGGGUUCAAAUCCCGGCCUUGUGU